CAGUCAAGUCUCUGGAAUUUCAAAGCAAACAUUUCUGCAUGUCUGGUGCUUCAACUUCUGCCAAGUAAUUUCUUCUGGUAAUCACGUGUCUGGUUUAGCAUACCAGCCUUGCUUCUGACGUCCAUUUCACUGACAGAGCAGGGGUCUUGUUUCUGGUCUCACCCAUGCCUGGAGAAGGCUGCUAGGGACAACAGAGCCACGCAGGUAGCAGAGAAGAAAAAGAUCCAGAUCUGGCUUUGGGUACGUGGCUAUUGUAUUGUAAUAAAAGUGUUCGGCCUGUUCGGCUUGUUCAGGAGUGUACCUGCCACAUGAAGGUGUGCUGCUGCCAAUGGGGGGCCUGGUGGGCCUGCAUGCAGCCCAUGCCAAAAUACACAUGUAUCUUAACAGAGGACAAAUAUAAAAUAUAUAGAAUACAGAUUUUCAGUCAGCAAAAGUCCCUGCUCAAAGAACACUAGAGCUCUAGAAGAGUAGUAAUCAUGCACAUUAACAUAAUCAACACAAUCAACAUUUAAUUUACCAACAGCAAAGCCUCACAAAGCGUUGCCCUGUCCAUAGGCUGAUUUAGCAUGGGAUUGUGCUGCACUCAGAGCCCCCAGCCUGCACCAAUCCACCGACUCACAGCCACGCUGGCUGAAGUAGAAGGUCAGACUGGAAGCUGCAAAGGUUAAGCAGAAAGGAUAAGCAGAAAGGAUUGCCAAGCCAUGCCUAAAGGUGAGUCAGUCUCAGAUGCUUCUGAAUCAAUCACACACUCUCCCAGGCCAUCUCUGCGAUGCUACCUGUGAUGAGCAUGGGAUGGAGAUGCAUCAUUACGCAGUUCUUCCAAGCAUGAUAAUAAAGUCCCUGUGGAUCUGCCAGUACCUAUAGGAAGCUAACAAGAACUGGUAGCUCUCGAUGAAGCUGCCAUGGGUGGGAUUUCCAAGGCAAUGGCUCUCAGGAACCUUCCCUAUAUUCCCACCCACCACUCCCCUGUCUCAGCAAGGAUUAAGAGCAGUCUUUCAUUCUCUGCUGGUACUGCCCCAAACAGAGCCUUCAAGUUCAGAGCCGCUUUUUGAUAAGAGAUGUACAUCUAAAAAGACUCCUUAAGAAUCAAUGUAAAUUUUUAUUUUGUUUUGUUUUAUUUAAAUAUGGAGUCUGCACAAAACAACAGAGAGAAGUACCAGAAAAGAAGAAAUGAAGGAAAGCAAGUAGGUCCAAGCCUGAUACCAGGGACCUGGACUCCACUCACCAUAAGGACAGGUGUGGGAUUUAUUUUCACAGACACCGAUCCUGAAAGAUCCGAGUGAGAAAUGAUUCUUCCCAUUACAAAUGCCUUGUCUGCUGGCUGUACACGUUGCCUGGCAAAACCUGAGCUUUAAGAUGCUGCAAAUAAGAAUGGUCUUACAGUUCAUGCCUGGAUGGGUGAUCUUACCUGUGAUACUACCACAAUCCACAGAUAACCAGUCUGCUGAGAUGGCCUCACCAUUAUUAUAAAUGACAAAACAAUCACAAUUAAAACAUAGAAAAGAAGGAAAAAGAAAAUCUGAUUUUCUAGGCCCAGAAACAUCUCUCAAAUUGGCAGAGCUGUAGCUCUGUAAUCUCCCCUUUACUCCCUGCAGCCUGUCAUGUAACAUUCUUCAGCUGGCAUUGACACCUACCUGCUGGGGCUGUCCAGUUUGUCCAACUGCAAAUUUGACUGUGAAUGCACAGCUCUCCCCUUCAUGCUAAUAAAAAGGGUGAAACCAGAAAAUGAAUGCAUAGGAAAAAUUUAGAGGAAAUAAGGACUAUUACAGCCAUGAUUGAUUAAAAUGUGUGUGAACAUCAGAGAGAUGCAGACCAGUAAUAUUAUGAUACAAGAAUGCAUUUAGCAUUAAGUAUAUAAUCAUAUAAAAUAUGAGUAUAACAGAUAUGAAUCCAGAGAAAGUGUCUGUAUUCAAAUCAUGGAAAUUAAAUUAAACGCCUUCUGAAAAUAACAGCUCUAGCUAUCUGUAUGCCAUAUCUGGUGGGGAAAAGGGCAUCUGGGACACGGCCUGGGAAUUCUUCCUUGGAAAAAAAAUAUUUCUUCUGUAUAUGCCACAGGUUGAGAUGCAGCACUUUUAUGUCAUAUAUUUUUUAUAUUGCAGUUUACGUCUUUAAGACAGAGGCAGAUUAGUGGCAGAUCUCAUGUAUUCUAAGUUCGCCACAGAAUAUAUAGUUAUGCAUUGCUGUUUGGUAUUCCCUCAGCUUUUUGUGAAAAUGCCAAUCACGUAUGGCCAGUUCUAGGAAAAGUCUGUUGUCUGACAGUUUGCUUGAGGUGUUGCUGUCUGAUAAACUACAAGACAUCAGAAUUUUUCGUAGGCAGGAAAAAACAAAAGAUAGAAAACUAUGUGAUAAAAGUAUGUACAGAUACAUCACUAGGUUUUCUCCAGAAGAGUGUUCUAGAAUGGCUGGAGAUCUGUGAGUUGUAAAAAUUAGAAUAAAAGACCUAGGAGAAGUGUGGUGAUGGACAAGAGUGACAUGAGGUCAUCAGAUAUAGUUUUCCAAACAGCAGUGUUUAUUAAGUAAAUGAGCUAUCCCAUUAGCUUCUGCUUGUCCCCAAACAAAUCUUCAUUAACUAACCACUUCUGCCAAGCAUGGCAAACAGCUCAGGCUUGAUUACUGCAGGGAGUCAUCACGGACUGAGCCAGAGAAACCACAGUGUAAGUACAAGUCUAGGAAAAGACAUGCCAGUUGCCUCCAACAUCAGCCAAGUAUUAAAGUAUGGAUUCAGUGGUGACAGAGUGAGAAAGCUGUAGUGAGAGUAAAGACAAAGUGCAUGAAAUCCGAAGUUCUUUACAGAAACACAUUUUAAGCAGACAAACUGAUAAGAAUCAGCAAAACAGCUAUAGUGCAUAAUGGAAAGCUGACUGGCAGAUGCCUGGCACAUCAGCGACACAUGAAACAUUUGCAACCCUCAUUCUACAAAAUGAUUUAAUUGACAUUACUGCUUUUGCAAUGUAAGCCUCUUUUCACUUAAGUUAAUUUGAGAAAUGCAACACUUUCUCCCAAGUUGAUGAAAACCCAUCACUUUGUGACUUUCUGCACUUUGAGAAAGAUAUAUGCUAAUUUGGAUUUUGCAAAAUCUCUACAACUGCCCCAGUAAAAACAUGCCCACUUCUCUCUGUUACACUGUCAAAAAGCAAGCAUGCACCAGUUUUAUUUUGAAAGUAAAAUGUUUUUCAUAACAAUAUGAAUGAGCUAGAUAUUGCUGACAGCUUGAAUUAGUAAUUUCCCUGGGCUUCUUUCUCUCUCCUAAGAAGAAUAAUGUCAUGCUCCAAUAACAAUAAUAGAUUUUUCAAGAGGAAAAAUUAGACGUAAAAGACGAUGCCAGAUGAUGUCAAUGUAGCCAGUGCAAUUCAGUGUCAGAAGCUGACAAUGCCUCAAGGCUCAUAGAAUAUCACUUUGCAGGUGAGAAAAAGAAGUACAGUUUUGAAACUGUAAGCUUAGACCAGGUGGAUAUGCCUAAUCCUAUGCCUAUGAUAAAUUUCAUGUCUCGAAUUACUACACUGAAGUUGUUUGAAAACUAUGCUGUUUAUUUCUGGAGACUAGUGAUAGUAACUGGCAACAUUUUGUAGUUACACAGGUUAAGGUUUAGGAUAAAAAAGACCUUUUUCUUUGUGCUUCUGCAUACGUGCUGGCCGGAAUACCUCAUUGAAAGAGUCCCUGACUCCUCUCAACACAUGCUGGAGAGGCAGCUGGCUGAAGAUUCAGUAAAGCUUCAUUUCCUCAUCAGCAGUAGCUGGCAAAUGCAGUUUUUGCCAGUUCUUUGAAGGUGAUGUGAAGGGCAUACAUGUACCAAGAACAUUCUGAGGAGGAGAAGACAGCUGGCUAGCAGGAAGUGCACUUACUUGCAGUACAAAUCGAAAUAAUCUCUUUAAUAGACACCUGUUAGUUUUGCAAUGGGUGGCCUUUUUGUAUAGUUGUUUAGCACAUGCAUAUGAAAUAUUGUGUCAGUGGUCAGUUCACGAUAUGAUUUUAUAGACAUCAGAUGCAAGGUACCCGGGACUGCUCCAUCUCAUCCUACUAAGCACAAUCUCUUUGCUAAUUGUGGGGGUGGAAAGAGAGAGAGAGCCACUCCUCCUACCUCUUCCAUUUAUGAAUGCAACAGAAACAAUCUUGACAUUUUCUUGUGCCACAACUUUGUCUGUUAUUAUAGCACAGAGAAAGGGUAAAUAUUUACCUCACUGCCAUUCCCCAAGAUGUUGUCUUUUCUAGCAGGAUAAUGGAAAACAAAAAAACAGCAUUUGAAAUGAUUGUCCAGAAACUAUGUUUUGCAAGCCAUUUUUAUACUAUUCCCUAGGAUCUGGUUCAAGAUUUAAACUUUUGUCAGAAAGAGACUAGAAACAUUUACAUUUAUAAUUUUUUAAAAUAUCAUAAACUGAAUUCCAACAGAUUGAUACCCCUGACCCAGACUCUUCUGGUUGUAAAGGCACCUGCAGGAAAAUAGAGGAGCCAGAUGUUUCUGUGACACCAAGCAUAUGGAAAUUAUGAGCUAAUUCUAUGAUGUUGGCAGCUGAGGACACUCAGCACCUUUUACAAUUAGAUCCUCAAUUAGCAAAGUUUGUAGUGGAAAAAAAUCUGUCUCACUUUUGAAGAGUAACAGACUGCUCUGAUCUGCAAUAUUGUACUUAAAAUAUUAAAAAAUCUAUCUACAAAACAGAUGGGAGAAAGAGUUACCCUUCACUUGAUGAAAUUCCAACACUGCUUCUGCAGUCCCAUGAAUUCCCCAAGCUCUUUAAGCUUUCUGUCCAGUGCCUACUCUAAUCUGUCAUGCUCAUUAUUUUCUAUUCACUAGUUACACCAGCCUUUUAAAGGCAAUAAAGGGAUUCUGGAAGCCAUUACUUUGAUGACCAUCUCAUAUCCCUCUCUAUCCCCUGCCUGCGGGGAAACUGGAGACUCAUCACAACCAGAAAAUAUGCCCUAAAAAUGUGUCAACUGCUGGCUACGCUGUUGGAUCAAAUGACAUCAACAUAGUGUGCUAGAUAGCACAUCAUCUGCAUCUAGUCCACAUACCAAUUCAUAUGUGAUGAGGGAAUAAAGAGAAGUCAAAGCAUUUUGUAAACACUCAGGCUGAAAGCCCUGCCCAUCUAUUUCUUACCAUCAUCUAUUCAUACAGGAAAAGGUGUUAUUGAUUCUACAUGUUGAUGAAAUGAGUGAUUUUUGAAGUGCUGGACAUGUUUCUAUUUUACAAAACAAUUCUAGACCUCUUUGCUAACUCAGAGUUAAUUUCUUUUUAAUAAAUUAAAAAAAAAAAAAAA